rnacentral:rRNA from 1 species
UACAGAGGGGGCAAGCGUUGUUCGGAAUUACUGGGCGUAAAGGGCGCGUAGGCGGCCACCGCAAGUCGACUGUGAAAUCUCCGGGCUUAACCCGGAAAGGUCAGCCGAUACUGCGGGCUAGAGUGCAGAAGGGCAACUGGAAUUCUCGGUGUAGCGGUGAAAUGCGUAGAUAUCGAGAGGAACACCUGCGGCGAAGGCGGGUUGCUGGCUGACACUGACGCUGAGGCGCGAAGCUAGGGAGCGAACGG